GGUUUUUAUGGAUGCAUUAUGAAACAGUGAAGCAUUAGAUAAUCAUUAUUGCUGCUCAUAAUGCUGCCACUAUGCAUGUCAUUUUAGUCCUAAGAAAUCUUUCUUUCUUUCCUUUUUUUUGAGACAAGGCCUCAAACUUCCUAUGUGACCCAAGCUGUCUCAAACUCAGGACAAUCCUCCUGUCUCAGCCUUCCCAGCACUGGAAUUAUAGAUGUAUUCCACCACACUCAGCCUUUCUUUGUCUUGAUGCCUGACUUCAUGGAAGGGGAGAAGAGGUGCCAAAGAAGAAAUGAGAGAGAAGAAAAGGCAGUGAACAGCAACUAGAAAUCAUGGAGAAGCAUUAUAUAUUUCCUCUGAAGAAAUUUACAUAUUUAUUUCUUCAGUUUUCAUAAAACUUUCUCAGAGAAAAAACAUUGUGAGACAAUAAAUACAAAUUUUUUGUGUUGGUAGUGCUGGGGAUAGAACCUAGUAUCUUGUAUCUUCUAGGCAAGGGCCCUCCCAGUGAGCUACACCUCUAACCUUAUGUAACAUUUACGAAUAUGUAUUCCACAUCAGCUUCCACUGUUACCAGAGUGGUGAAGAUGAUUCACACAAUAUUUACUGAGAGCCCCUGUAACUUGAUACCUAGACGGAGUAUCUAGCAGUUAGUCCCCUGAAAAAUACAAUUUCUUUCAGCAUGCCCAAGCUGGCCAGAGGUGGGUCAGCCAGGGCUUCAUCUGUUCAAGGCCAGGACCAGUCACUAGGGUCAUAGUGAC
rnacentral:lncRNA from 1 species